rnacentral:rRNA from 1 species
AGAGUUUGAUCCUGGCUCAGAUUGAACGCUGGCGGCAUGCCUUACACAUGCAAGUCGAACGGCAGCACGGAGCUUGCUCUGGUGGCGAGUGGCGAACGGGUGAGUAAUAUAUCGGAACGUACCCUAGAGUGGGGGAUAACGUAGCGAAAGUUACGCUAAUACCGCAUACGAUCUAAGGAUGAAAGUGGGGGAUCGCAAGACCUCAUGCUCGUGGAGCGGCCGAUAUCUGAUUAGCUAGUUGGUAGGGUAAAAGCCUACCAAGGCAUCGAUCAGUAGCUGGUCUGAGAGGACGACCAGCCACACUGGAACUGAGACACGGUCCAGACUCCUACGGGAGGCAGCAGUGGGGAAUUUUGGACAAUGGGCGAAAGCCUGAUCCAGCAAUGCCGCGUGAGUGAAGAAGGCCUUCGGGUUGUAAAGCUCUUUUGUCAGGGAAGAAACGGUGAGAGCUAAUAUCUCUUGCUAAUGACGGUACCUGAAGAAUAAGCACCGGCUAACUACGUGCCAGCAGCCGCGGUAAUACGUAGGGUGCAAGCGUUAAUCGGAAUUACUGGGCGUAAAGCGUGCGCAGGCGGUUUUGUAAGUCUGAUGUGAAAUCCCCGGGCUCAACCUGGGAAUUGCAUUGGAGACUGCAAGGCUAGAAUCUGGCAGAGGGGGGUAGAAUUCCACGUGUAGCAGUGAAAUGCGUAGAUAUGUGGAGGAACACCGAUGGCGAAGGCAGCCCCCUGGGUCAAGAUUGACGCUCAUGCACGAAAGCGUGGGGAGCAAACAGGAUUAGAUACCCUGGUAGUCCACGCCCUAAACGAUGUCUACUAGUUGUCGGGUCUUAAUUGACUUGGUAACGCAGCUAACGCGUGAAGUAGACCGCCUGGGGAGUACGGUCGCAAGAUUAAAACUCAAAGGAAUUGACGGGGACCCGCACAAGCGGUGGAUGAUGUGGAUUAAUUCGAUGCAACGCG